UUAUAUUAAUAUAUUGGCAGAAAAAUGCAUUAGAAUUAGAAUCUAAUAAAACUAAUAUAAUAUUUAUAUUAACAUACCUUCUAAUUAUUGUAAGA
rnacentral:tRNA from 1 species